GAUGAACGCUAGCGGGAGGCUUAAUACAUGCAAGUCGAGGGAGAGGUUAGGUGCUUGCACUUAACCAAAACCGGCGAACGGGUGCGUAACACGUACACAAUCUACCUUUUACAAGAGGAUAGCCCCGAGAAAUUGGGAUUAAUACUCUAUAGUAUUAUUGUUUGGCAUCAGAUAAUAAUUAAAGCUCCGGCGGUAAAAGAUGAGUGUGCGGAUCAUUAGAUAGUUGGUAGGGUAAUGGCCUACCAAGUCAGCGAUGAUUAGCCGGCGUGAGAGCGCGAUCGGCCACACUGGAACUGAGACACGGUCCAGACUCCUACGGGAGGCAGCAGUAGGGAAUAUUGGACAAUGGAGGCAACUCUGAUCCAGCCAUCCCGCGUGCAGGAAGACGGUCCUCUGGAUUGUAAACUGCUUUUAUAGAGGAAGAAACCUUAGGAUUUAUCCUAAGCUGACGGUACUCUAAGAAUAAGCACCGGCUAACUCCGUGCCAGCAGCCGCGGUAAUACGGAGGGUGCAAGCGUUAUCCGGAUUCACUGGGUUUAAAGGGUGCGCAGGCGGACAAAUAAGUCAGUGGUGAAAUCCCGUAGCUUAACUACGGAACUGCCAUUGAAACUGUAUGUCUUGAAUAUGAUUGAGGUAGGCGGAAUUUAACAUGUAGCGGUGAAAUGCAUAGAUAUGUUAAGGAACACCAAUUGCGAAGGCAGCUUACUAAGUCAUUAUUGACGCUCAUGCACGAAAGCGUGGGGAGCGAACAGG
rnacentral:rRNA from 1 species